CCUACGGGAGGCAGCAGUGAGGAAUAUUGGUCAAUGGGCGCAAGCCUGAACCAGCCAAGUCGCGUGAAGGAUGACUGUCCUACGGGUUGUAAACUUCUUUUAUAAGGGAAUAAAGUGAGGCACGUGUGCCUUUUUGUAUGUACUUUAUGAAUAAGGAUCGGCAAACUCCGUGCCAGCAGCCGCGGUAAUACGGAGGAUCCGAGCGUUAUCCGGAUUUAUUGGGUUUAAAGGGUGCGUAGAUGGGUUGUUAAGUCAGUUGUGAAAGUUUGCGGCUCAACCUUAAAAUUGCAAUUGAUACUGGUAGCCUUGAGUACAGUUGAGGCAGGCGGAAUGCGUGGUGUAGCGGUGAAAUGCUUAGAUAUCACGAAGAACUCCGAUUGCGAAGGCAGCCUACUAAGCUGUAACUGACGCUGAUGCUCGAAAGCGUGGGGAUCAAACAGGAUUAGAUACCCCUGUAGUC
rnacentral:rRNA from 1 species